GACGAACUCUGGCGGCGUGCUUAACACAUGCAAGUCUAACGAAGUGGCGAACGGGUGAUUAAUACGUGUGUAACCUUCCCUCCUUUUUUGGAUAAGCCUUGUAAACGGGGUCUAAUACCGAAUAAAGGGGGAUGGGCUCGCGGCCUAUCAGCUUGUUGUUGGGGUGAUGGCCUACCAAGGCGGUGACGGGUAGCCGGCCUGAGAGGGGGACCGGAGACAUUGGGACUGAGAGAAAGCCCAGACUCCUACGGGAGGCAGCAGUGGGGGAGAUUGCAGAAUGAGAGAAAGACUCAUGCAGCAACGCCGCGUGGGGGAUGAAGGCUUUCGGGUUGUAAACCUCGUUCGCUAUCGAAGGGGUAGGUGGAGAAGAAGCGCCGGCUAACUACGUGCCAGCCGCCGAGGUAAUAC
rnacentral:rRNA from 1 species